rnacentral:rRNA from 1 species
CCUACGGGCGGCAGCAGUGGGGAAUAUUGGACAAUGGGCGAAACCCUGAUGCAGCGACGCCGCGUGAAUGAAGAAGGAUUUCGGGAUGUAAAGCUCUAUCCGCAGGGAAGAAAAUGGCGGUACCUACUUAAGAAUCCCCGGCUAACUACUUUCCAGCAGCCGCGGUAAUAAGUAGGGGGCAAGCGUUAUCCGGAUUUUCUGGGGGUAAAGGGAGCGUAGACGGCAGCACAAGUCAGGAGUGAAAUGCCGGGGCUGAACCGCAGAAAUGCUUUGGAAACUGUGCAGCUAGAGUGCAGGAGAGGUAAGCGGAAUUCCUAGUGUAGCGGUGAAAUGCGUAGAUAUUAGGAGGAACACCAGUGGCGAAGGCGGAUUACUGGACUGUAACUGACGUUGAGGCUCGAAAGCGUGGGGAGCAAACAGGAUUAGAUACCCUAGUAGUC